CAACUCGCCUGCAUGAAGUUGGAAUUGCUAGUAAUCGCGAAUCAGAAUGUCGCGGUGAAUACGUUCCCGGGCCUUGUACACACCGCCCGUCACACCAUGAGAGUCGAUAACACCCGAAGCCUGUGAGCUAACCUUUUAGGAGGCAGCAGUCGAAGGUGGGUUGAUGGAUUGGGGUGAAGUCGUAACAAGGUAAC
rnacentral:rRNA from 1 species